ACGAUGGAUGCUCGCUGUGUGCUUAUUUUUAGUAUGCGGCUAAGGGAAACCAUUAAGCAUCCCACCUGGGGAGUACGCCGGCAACGGUGAAACUCAAAGGAAUUGACGGGGGCCCGCACAAGCGGAGGAACAUGUGGUUUAAUUCGAUGAUACGCGAGGAACCUUACCCGGGCUUGAACUGCCGGUGCCGGCAUGAGAGAUCAUGCUUUCCUUCGGGACACUGGUGGAGGUGCUGCAUGGCUGUCGUCAG
rnacentral:rRNA from 1 species